rnacentral:rRNA from 1 species
AUUGAACGCUGGCGGCAGGCCUAACACAUGCAAGUCGAACGAGUGGCGGACGGGUGAGUAAUGUCUGGGAAACUGCCUGAUGGAGGGGGAUAACUACUGGAACCGGUAGCUAAUACCGCAUACCACCAGUUGUGGCCUGAUGGGAUUAGCUUGUGGGUGGGGUAACGGCUCACCGAGGCGACGAUCCCUAGCUGGGCUGAGAGGAUGACCAGCCACACUGGGACUGAGACACGGUCCAGACUCCUACGGGAGGCAGCAGUGGGGAAUAUUGCGCAAUGGGCGCAAGCCUGAUGCAGCCAUGCCGCGUGUAUGAAGAAGGUCUUCGGGUUGUAAAGUACUUUCAGCGGGGAGGCGUUACCCGCACAAGAAGCACCGGCUAACUCCGUGCCAGCCGCCGCGGUAAUAC